rnacentral:tRNA from 1 species
GAGGGCAUAGCUCAGUGGUAGAGUGCAUGCUUAGCAUGCACGAGGUCCUAGGUUCAAUCCCCAGUCCCUCCA